rnacentral:rRNA from 1 species
GAUGAACGCUGGCGGCGUGCUUAACACAUGCAAGUCGAACGGAAAGGCCCAAGCUUGCUUGGGUACUCGAGUGGCGAACGGGUUAGUAACACGUGGGUGAUCUGCCCUGCACUUCGGGAUAAGCCUGGGAAACUGGGUCUAAUACUGGAUAGGACCACUUCUUGGAUGGUGUGGUGGAAAGUUUUUUCGGUGUGGGAUGAGCUCGCGGCCUAUCAGCUUGUUGGUGGGGUAAUGGCCUACCAAGGCGUCGACGGGUAGCCGGCCUGAGAGGGUGUACGGCCACAUUGGGACUGAGAUACGGCCCAGACUCCUACGGGAGGCAGCAGUGGGGAAUAUUGCACAAUGGGCGCAAGCCUGAUGCAGCGACGCCGCGUGGGGGAUGACGGCCUUCGGGUUGUAAACUCCUUUCGCUAGGGACGAAGCGUUUUUGUGACGGUACCUGGAGAAGAAGCACCGGCUAACUACGUG